rnacentral:rRNA from 1 species
AUGCACUGGCUUCGCUGAUUCCUCCUUUCUGAAGAACUGUAAUGUCAUUAAUUUGGUGUUGCAGGGAAACAGGACUGUUACUUUGAAAAAAUUAGAGUGUUUAAAGCAGGCUAACGCUUGAAUACAUUAGCAUGGAAUGAUGAAAUAGGACGUUAAUCCUAUUUUGUUGGUUUCUAGGAUCGACGUAAUGAUUAAUAGGGAUAGUUGGGGGCAUUAGUAUUCAAUUGUCAGAGGUGAAAUUCUUGGAUUUAUUGAAGACUAACUACUGCGAAAGCAUUUGCCAAGGAUGUUUUCAUUAAUCAAGAACGAAAGUUAGGGGAUCGAAGACGAUCAGAUACCGUCGUAGUCUUAACCAUAAACUAUGCCGACUAGGGAUCGGAUGAUGUUAUUUUUAAUGACUCAUUCGGCGCCUUACG